UGUCCAGUGGCUCAGCUGGUAAAGAAUCCGCCUGAAAUGCAGACGACCUGGGUUCGAUCCCUGGCUGGGGAA
rnacentral:tRNA from 1 species